rnacentral:lncRNA from 1 species
CAGGUAAUAGAAGGAGAGGCAAAGAAUCACGACACACAAUUUGGAAAGCCUUCUGAAAGCAAGAAUAGGCAAUGAUUGCCAAGAACCUGGUAUUGAGCUCAUAUUUAAAAAGAACUCAAAGAAUCCUCAAUCUACCAAACCUAGUUAGAAGAUCUGGACAUGACUUAACUCAAUUUCAGAACACCAGACAACCCUAUAAUGAGGCUGAAGCAAGACCACAUGGAA